rnacentral:sRNA from 2 species
UGCGAUAGAGAAUCGUAAAGGAUGAGAACCGUAAAGGUUCGAGUCUCGCGCAGCGAGACAACAUCACUCCGGUGAUGGCCCGCAAGGCCGAGUUAUCCUGCACGACCCACCA